AUGAGCGAGGCAGGCGAGACCACCAUUACCACCACCAUCCUCCUGCAGGAGCUGGCGCAGACGGUUGUUGCAGCGCCCCAGGACCCUGUGCCCAAGAGCCUGGUGGGCAGCGGCGCGCCCCAGGCUGCGGCCCCGGUGCCCACCACCCUGGUCGCAGGACACCCCACUGGGGACCGGCCCCCGCAACAGCCACAGGCACCGCGGCUCCUGCCUCAGUAGCCGCCGCAGGCAGCGAGGACGUGGAGAAAAAAGUUCUCGCUACCAAAGUCCUUGGCACUGUCAAAUGGUUCAACGUCAGAAAUGGAUAUGGAUUUAUAAAUCGAAAUGACACCAAAGAAGAUGUAUUUGUAUAUCAGACUGCCAUCAAGAAGAAUAACCCACGGAAAUAUCUACGCAGUGUAGGAGAUGGAGAAACUGUGGAGUUUGAUGUGGUUGAAGGAGAGAAGGGUGCAGAAGCAGCCAAUGUGACUGGCCCAGAUGGAGUUCCUGUAGAAGGGAGUCAUUAUGCCUCUGAUCGGCGCUGUUACUGACGUGGCUACUAUGGCAGGCACUAUGGCCCUCCUCGGAAUGCUGGUGAGAUUGGAGAGAUGAAGGAUGGAGUCCCAGAGGGAGCACAACUUCCAGGACCAGUUCAUGAAAAUCCAACUUACCGCCCAAGGUACCGUAGUAGGGGACCUCCUCGCUCACGACCUGCUCCAGCUGUUGGAGAGGCUGAAGAUAAAGAGAAUCAACAGGUGGCCAAUGGUGCAAACCAGCCAUCUGCUCGCUGUGGAUACUGGCAUCCCUACAACUAUCAGCGUCACUCCCGUCCUUCUAAUGCUCCUUCACAAGAUGGCAAAGAGACCAGGGCAGGUGAAGCACCAGCUGAGAACCUUGCUCCAGCCACCGAGCAGAGCAGUGCUGACUAACACCAGGCUCCCCAGGCCCUUUACCAUCAGAAGGUGACCUAAAGAAUUAAUGACAAAUAAAGCAAAAAGCAAACCUUACCAACACCAAAGACACAUUCAAGCAAUAAAGUGGAAGACUAACCAAGAUUUGGACAUUAGGAUGUUUACUAUUAUUCUUUAAGAAACUAACAACUGCAAAAGAAAAAUGUCAGCAAAUUUUUCCAGCAAGCUGAGAACCCAGGAAUACCUGCACAGAAGACAAGAGACCAACUUCCCCACUUUCAGCAACCACUAGGUUUAUAUUUUUUUCCUGUUUUUUACUGUUUUUGUAACAAGAAUUGAAAGAAGAAAUAUUAAUACUACAUGGGGAAAACCCUAACCAAAGAAAUCUAAAAUAUAUAGUAAAUGCUUCUUUUUUCUCUUUUGUUCAUUUUGGAUACUGGUGCUAAACUUCCAAAGGUCAUAAUUUAAAAA